GUACCUUCAAACUGGCAAGAAUGGUCUUUCUUUGGCUAGCAGUGCCUUAUUUUUACAUUGCUGGGAGAUUUUUCUUCAACAGCCCCGAAUUAACGAGCCGUUUUCACAUCGUCAAUGGACUCAAGGGGACUAUUUUGUUUAUACUUUCACAUAGCUACAAAGCUUAUAAAUUCCGUGGAGGUCCACCCCAGCGGGAUUACCCAAUGACGUGUUCCAUAUGUCGUGUGGAUGGUCAUAUUUCCUCAUUUUGUCCAGGCAUUUAUUUGUGGAAAAGAAUUCGUAAUGUUGCCAUUGUUGUGGCAGUGUUUCUUUUAUAUUUUUAUCUGAAGAGCUAUGCAGAGACAAAACAUAAAGAGUGAUUGAAAUGAAGAAAGAUAUUAAACGAAUUGUUGACAAAUAA